rnacentral:miRNA from 1 species
ACAUGUGGUGUACCAUCCUGU